GAGACUUAGGUUAAAUUAAACCCGGGGCCUUCAAAGCCUCUAAUACGAGCAAUCCCCCUCAUAGUCUCUGAAGGCGC
rnacentral:tRNA from 1 species